rnacentral:rRNA from 1 species
GACGAACGCUGGCGGCGUGCUUAACACAUGCAAGUCGAACGGAAAGGCCCUGCUUUUGUGGGGUGCUCGAGUGGCGAACGGGUGAGUAACACGUGAGUAACCUGCCCUUGACUUUGGGAUAACUUCAGGAAACUGGGGCUAAUACCGGAUAGGAGCUCCUGCUGCAUGGUGGGGGUUGGAAAGUUUCGGCGGUUGGGGAUGGACUGGCGGCUUAUCAGCUUGUUGGUGGGGUAGUGGCUUACCAAGGCUUUGACGGGUAGCCGGCCUGAGAGGGUGACCGGCCACAUGGGUACUGAGAUACGGACCAGUCGCCUACGGGAGGCAGCAGUGGGGAAUAUUGCACAAUGGGCGGAAGCCUGAUGCAGCAACGCCGCGUGCGGGAUGACGGCCUUCGGGUUGUAAACCGCUUUCGCAUGUGACGAAGCGUGAGUGACGGUAAUGGGUAAAGAAGCACCGGCUAACUACGUG